AAUAGAUACCCUGGUAGUCCACGCCGUAAACCGGUGGGCACUAGAUGUGGGGCUCUUUCCAUGAGUUCCGCGUCGCAGCUAACGCAUUAAGUGCCCCGCCUGGGGAGUACGGCCGCAAGGCUAAAACUCAAAGGAAUUGACGGGGGCCCGCACAAGCGGCGGAGCAUGCGGAUUUAAUUCGAUGCAACGCGAAGAACCUUACCAAGGCUUGACAUAUACGGUCUAUCCCUAGAGAUAGGGAGUGCUUCGGCGCCGUAUACAGGUGGUGCAUGGUUGUCGUCAGCUCGUGUCGUGAGAUGUUGGGUUAAGUCCCGCAACGAGCGCAACCCUCGUUCUAUGUUGCCAGCACGUAAUGGUGGGGACUCAUAGGAGACUGCCGGGGUCAACUCGGAGGAAGGUGGGGAUGACGUCAAAUCAUCAUGCCCCUUAUGUCUUGGGCUUCACGCAUGCUACAAUGGCCGGUACAAAGGGCUGCAAUACCGUAAGGUGGAGCGAAUCCCAAAAAGCCGGUCUCAGUUCGGAUUGAGGU
rnacentral:rRNA from 1 species